UACGAAGGGUGCAAGCGUUACUCGGAAUUACUGGGCGUAAAGCGUGCGUAGGUGGUUUGUUAAGUCUGAUGUGAAAGCCCCGGGCUCAACCUGGGAAUUGCAUUGGAUACUGGCAGGCUAGAGUGCGGUAGAGGGUAGUGGAAUUCCCGGUGUAGCAGUGAAAUGCGUAGAUAUCGGAAGGAAACAUCAGUGGCGAAAAGCGGCUUCCUGGUCCAGCACCGACGUCAGGCACGAAAGCGUGGGGAGCA
rnacentral:rRNA from 1 species